AGAGAGCUUGCUUUCUAGAGACCGGCGGAUGGGUGAGUAACGCGUAUGCAACCUACCUUUUACAGGGGAAUAGCCCGGAGAAAUUCGGAUUAAUGCUCCAUGGUUUAUAUGAAUGGCAUCAUUUGUAUAAUAAAGAUUUAUCGGUAAAAGAUGGGCAUGCGUAUCAUUAGCUAGUUGGUGUGGUAACGGCAUACCAAGGCGACGAUGAUUAGGGGUCCUGAGAGGGAGAUCCCCCACACUGGUACUGAGACACGGACCAGACUCCUACGGGAGGCAGCAGUGAGGAAUAUUGGUCAAUGGAGGCAACUCUGAACCAGCCAUGCCGCGUGCAGGAUGACGGUCCUAUGGAUUGUAAACUGCUUUUGUACGGGAAGAAAUGUAAUUACGUGUAAUUAUUUGACGGUACCGUAAGAAUAAGGAUCGGCUAACUCCGUGCCAGCAGCCGCGGUAAUACGGAGGAUCCGAGCGUUAUCCGGAAUUAUUGGGUUUAAAGGGUUCGUAGGCGGUUUAGUAAGUCAGUGGUGAAAUCUUAUAGCUUAACUAUAAAAUUGCCGUUGAUACUGCUAAACUUGAAUAGUAUGGAAGUAAUUAGAAUAUGUAGUGUAGCGGUGAAAUGCUUAGAUAUUACAUGGAAUACCAAUUGCGAAGGCAGAUUACUACGUACUUAUUGACGCUGAUGAACGAAAGCGUGGGUAGCGAACAGGAUUAGAUACCCUGGUAGUCCACGCCGUAAACGAUGGAUACUAGCUGUUCGGUUUUCGGACUGAGUGGCUAAGCGAAAGUGAUAAGUAUCCCACCUGGGGAGUACGUUCGCAAGAAUGAAACUCAAAGGAAUUGACGGGGGCCCGCACAAGCGGUGGAGCAUGUGGUUUAAUUCGAUGAUACGCGAGGAACCUUACCAAGGCUUAAAUGUAGAUUGACAGGUUUAGAGAUAGACUUUUCUUCGGACAAUUUACAAGGUGCUGCAUGGUUGUCGUCAGCUCGUGCCGUGAGGUGUCAGGUUAAGUCCUAUAACGAGCGCAACCCCUAUUGUUAGUUGCCAGCGAGUAAUGUCGGGAACUCUAACAAGACUGCCGGUGCAAACCGUGAGGAAGGUGGGGAUGACGUCAAAUCAUCACGGCCCUUACGUCUUGGGCUACACACGUGCUACAAUGGCCAGUACAGAAAGCAGCUACCAGGCAACUGGAUGCGAAUCUCAAAAACUGGUCUCAGUUCGGAUUGGAGUCUGCAACUCGACUCCAUGAAGCUGGAAUCGCUAGUAAUCGGAUAUCAGCCAUGAUCCGGUGAAUACGUUCCCGGGCCUUGUACACACCGCCCGUCAAGCCAUGGAAGCUGGG
rnacentral:rRNA from 1 species